rnacentral:rRNA from 1 species
GACGAACGCUGGCGGCGUGCUUAACACAUGCAAGUCGAACGGAAAGGCCCUGCUUUUGUGGGGUGCUCGAGUGGCGAACGGGUGAGUAACACGUGAGUAACCUGCCCUUGACUUUGGGAUAACUUCAGGAAACUGGGGCUAAUACCGGAUAGGAGCUCCUGCUGCAUGGUGGGGGUUGGAAAGUUUCGGCGGUUGGGGAUGGACUCGCGGCUUAUCAGCUUGUUGGUGGGGUAGUGGCUUACCAAGGCUUUGACGGUCAGCCGGCCUGAGAGGGUGACCGGGCCCAUUGGGACUGGGGUACGAGCCGGACUGCAACGGGAGGCAUCGGUGGAAGUUUUUGCGCGAUGGGCGGAAGCAUGAUGCAGCAACUCCGCGUGCUAAAGGACUGCCUUCGGGUUAUAACCCGCUUUCGCCUGUGACGAAGCGUGAGUGACGGUAAUGUAUAAAGAAGCACCGGCUAACUACGUG